GUGCUUACUUCAGCAGCAUAUACACUAAAAUUGAAAUGAUACGGAGAUUAGCAUAGCCUCUGCACAAAAAUGGCACACAAAUUUGUGAAGCAUUGCAGAUUUUU
ensembl:snRNA U6 U6 spliceosomal RNA